AAGCUUAGGUAUUAACAUGCAUCAGUCUAUUUUACUUCAAGGAGUAGUGGUGACAUUUUAGUGAGGUUUGGCUGGUGUUUCUGUUGGUGGAUUUACAGGUCUCCUGUCCUGUCUUUCUUUGCAGCUGAACCUGCUGGUGAAGGUGGUGCAGCUUCCCAAGCCACGUCCAGGACUGAGGCUCUGGGAGAUGCUGAGGGUGUGUCUGCAGGGAGGACUUCUCCAGCUCCUUUGCUGAUUCCUACAGAGAAGCCUGGCAACCAUCGCAGGGGUCCUCCAAGGGGGAAGGACCAAGCCACAGGACACCACAAACCCCAUGAUCCAUCCGAAAACAUGAGGCAAAUGCUGAAGGAAAUGCAGCAGGCAGGAGAAG